AUUGAACGCUGGCGGCAGGCUUAACACAUGCAAGUCGAGCGGUAACAGGGGGAGCUUGCUCCCUGCUGACGAGCGGCGGACGGGUGAGUAAUGCAUAGGAAUCUGCCCAGUAGUGGGGGAUAGCCCGGGGAAACCCGGAUUAAUACCGCAUACGCCCUUUGGGGGGGAAAGCAGGGGAUCUUCGGACCUUGCGCUAUUGGAUGAGCCUAUGUCGGAUUAGCUAGUUGGUGGGGUAACGGCCCACCAAGGCGACGAUCCGUAGCUGGUCUGAGAGGAUGAUCAGCCACAUCGGGACUGAGACACGGCCCCGAACUCCUACGGGAGGCAGCAGUGGGGAAUAUUGGACAAUGGGCAACCCUGAUCCAGCCAUGCCGCGUGUGUGAAGAAGGCUUUCGGUUGUAAAGCACUUUCAGUGAGGAGGAAAACCUUAUGGCGAAUACCCAUGAGGCUUGACGUUAC
rnacentral:rRNA from 1 species